rnacentral:rRNA from 1 species
UGGGGAAUAUUGCACAAUGGGCGCAAGCCUGAUGCAGCAACGCCGCGUGAGGGAUGACGGCCUUCGGGUUGUAAACCUCUUUUAGCAGGGAAGAAGCGAAAGUGACGGUACCUGCAGAAAAAGCACCGGCUAACUACGUGCCAGCAGCCGCGGUAAUACGUAGGGUGCAAGCGUUGUCCGGAAUUAUUGGGCGUAAAGAGCUCGUAGGCGGUCUGUCGCGUCUGCUGUGAAAUCCCGAGGCUCAACCUCGGGCCUGCAGUGGGUACGGACAGACUAGAGUGCGGUAGGGGAGAAUGGAACUCCUGGUGUAGCGGUGGAAUGCGCAGAUAUCAGGAAGAACACCGAUGGCGAAGGCAGUUCUCUGGGCCGUAACUGACGCUGAGGAGCGAAAGCGUGGGGAGCGAACAGGAUUAGAUACCCUGGUAGUCCACGCCGUAAACGUUGGGCGCUAGAUGUGGGGACCAUUCCACGGUUUCCGUGUCGCAGCUAACGCAUUAAGCGCCCCGCCUGGGGAGUACGGCCGCAAGGCUAAAACUCAAAUGAAUUGACGGGGUCAUAGCUG